rnacentral:rRNA from 2 species
ACCCCCUUCGCCCCCCCGCCGGCCCGCCCGCCCUUCUAUAUAUAUUAUUUUACCCCCCCUGUAGACGAACGCUGGCGGCGUGCCUAAUACAUGCAAGUCGAACGAACUCUGGUAUUGAUUGGUGCUUGCAUCAUGAUUUACAUUUGAGUGAGUGGCGAACUGGUGAGUAACACGUGGGAAACCUGCCCAGAAGCGGGGGAUAACACCUGGAAACAGAUGCUAAUACCGCAUAACAACUUGGACCGCAUGGUCCGAGCUUGAAAGAUGGCUUCGGCUAUCACUUUUGGAUGGUCCCGCGGCGUAUUAGCUAGAUGGUGGGGUAACGGCUCACCAUGGCAAUGAUACGUAGCCGACCUGAGAGGGUAAUCGGCCACAUUGGGACUGAGACACGGCCCAAACUCCUACGGGAGGCAGCAGUAGGGAAUCUUCCACAAUGGACGAAAGUCUGAUGGAGCAACGCCGCGUGAGUGAAGAAGGGUUUCGGCUCGUAAAACUCUGUUGUUAAAGAAGAACAUAUCUGAGAGUAACUGUUCAGGUAUUGACGGUAUUUAACCAGAAAGCCACGGCUAACUACGUGCCAGCAGCCGCGGUAAUACGUAGGUGGCAAGCGUUGUCCGGAUUUAUUGGGCGUAAAGCGAGCGCAGGCGGUUUUUUAAGUCUGAUGUGAAAGCCUUCGGCUCAACCGAAGAAGUGCAUCGGAAACUGGGAAACUUGAGUGCAGAAGAGGACAGUGGAACUCCAUGUGUAGCGGUGAAAUGCGUAGAUAUAUGGAAGAACACCAGUGGCGAAGGCGGCUGUCUGGUCUGUAACUGACGCUGAGGCUCGAAAGUAUGGGUAGCAAACAGGAUUAGAUACCCUGGUAGUCCAUACCGUAAACGAUGAAUGCUAAGUGUUGGAGGGUUUCCGCCCUUCAGUGCUGCAGCUAACGCAUUAAGCAUUCCGCCUGGGAGUACGGCCGCAAGGCUGAAACUCAAAGGAAUUGACGGGGGCCCGCACAAGCGGUGGAGCAUGUGGUUUAAUUCGAAGCUACGCGAAGAACCUUACCAGGUCUUGACAUACUAUGCAAAUCUAAGAGAUUAGACGUUCCCUUCGGGGACAUGGAUACAGGUGGUGCAUGGUUGUCGUCAGCUCGUGUCGUGAGAUGUUGGGUUAAGUCCCGCAACGAGCGCAACCCUUAUUAUCAGUUGCCAGCAUUAAGUUGGGCACUCUGGUGAGACUGCCGGUGACAAACCGGAGGAAGGUGGGGAUGACGUCAAAUCAUCAUGCCCCUUAUGACCUGGGCUACACACGUGCUACAAUGGAUGGUACAACGAGUUGCGAACUCGCGAGAGUAAGCUAAUCUCUUAAAGCCAUUCUCAGUUCGGAUUGUAGGCUGCAACUCGCCUACAUGAAGUCGGAAUCGCUAGUAAUCGCGGAUCAGCAUGCCGCGGUGAAUACGUUCCCGGGCCUUGUACACACCGCCCGUCACACCAUGAGAGUUUGUAACACCCAAAGUCGGUGGGGUAACCUUUUAGGAACCAGCCGCCUAAGGUGGGACAGAUGAUUAGGGUGAAU